rnacentral:lncRNA from 10 species
CACAAGGAGAUUUCUGAAAUCCCAUCAAGUGUAAAAACCAAACAGCAGCCAGUGCUUACUCUGACCGUGGGGAGUAAGUACUGUAAGGUUGUCAGGAGGGAAUGAGACUGACAGAAAGCGAAUCCCCUGACCUGAAGGGUUUGCAUUUGAACUAGAAAAAUAGCAGAGGGAUGGGCACACUAAAGGCUCCCACACACACAGAUGUAGGCAUGGAGGGGUGUGUCCACCCAGAGGUUUCCACCACGCCACUGUGCACACGCAGGAUUGUGCAUGUACAAAGCAUCAUAGACUUCUGCUUCUGGAAUUGUGGCAGACCAGGUACUCUGAAGGACCUUCCUCUUAAGAAACAACUGGAUCAUGGAUAAAAUAUACUUUUUAAAGUAUUGCUGAACUCAUGAGAAAUAAGGUACAUCUCCCAGAAUUAGCCUUCUUCAUGUGCACACAAACAUACACACACAUGCACAUACACAGUGGUCAAAGUGAAGAACAUCAAAGACAAAGAGAGGAUCUUAAAGGCAUUCAGAAAGGAAAGUCGGAUUAUCUAGGAGGAAAUAACAAUUCGAUUGGAAGCAGACUUGUCAACAACAGUGACAUCCAAAAAACAGUUGUGUCAUCUCUUUAUAGUAUUUCGGGAAAAUAGUUGACCCUUGAACAGCACAGGUUUGAACUGCGUGAGUCCACUUCUACUCUGAUUUCCUUCCUCCUCUGCCACCCCUGAGACAGCAAGACCAACCCCCCUUCCUCCUCAGCCUACUCAACAUGAAGACGAGGCUGAAGACCCUUAUGAUGAUCCACUUCCACUUAAUGAACAGUAAAUAUAUUUUCUCUUCCUUAUGAUUUUCUUUUCUUUAGCUUACUUUGUUGUAAGACCACAGUAUAUAAUACAUGUAACAUACAAAAUAUCUGUUAAUCAACUGUUUAUGUUACUGGUAAGCCUCCCAUCA